rnacentral:lncRNA from 1 species
AAUAAGAAGGUGCGUUCCUAACCUAUUAAGAGUUAGUUAAUUUUGCCAAUGUUCGAGAAAAGCUUAGGUUGGAGGGAGAGGAUAGUUGUACAUACUAUAUCCGGAAGCUAAUCUCAUUAACACUUAGCUCAUUAUGAAAGAGUUUGAUUUGGAACCUUGAGAGUAGCGAUUCUUUUGAUACUUAAUUGCAUAAUCUCCACUCUUUGUACUUUUUGUUUAAGUUUUAGUUUUGACAACUCCUAUUGUAUUUUGAAUCUUCAUAUCUUUAGUUUACCAUGUGAGAUGUGUUUUGAUAUCAGUCAUGCCACUCAAUUAUUUUUUGGAAUGAUUUGCAUGACCUCUUUUAUGUAUAUUAUUACGUUUGCUUAAUUUUUCUCUCCUUAAUUGCUAAGGGACUAGCAAUAUGUCGGUUGGGGGGAGUGAUUACUACUCAAAACAUGCUAUUUUGUAGCUUGUUAUUAGCUCUUUUAAGCACCCUUGAGUAGUAAUUAUUACCUUUUAACUCAAUUAACAUGUUAGGGACCCUUGCAAUCAUUUCUAAUCAAUUUGUGUAAAGUUUUGGUGCUUUUUGAUAGCUUUAUGCUCACCAAAGCAAUUUAAGAAUGAGGGAGAGCUAUAUAUAAUUCAUGGCAAAGCUUUUGGAAGCUCAAAUUUAAGAAUAAACCAAGCUUUGGAGCCUCAUAAUCCUUUGCCUUAGUCGUUCAAAGUAUGCAAGGAAAGAACAAUGGAGAAGAGGAAAACAGGGUGAUGAAAAUAGGGGACACAGCUGCAGUCUUUCAUCGCACUUUUGGAGCACUUCCCGAAGUCCAUUUUCUACAUUCUAUAUACCAUUUCAAAGCUCAGAAAGUCAAGAAUCCAAUGAUUCAAACCAUGUACGAUUUGGAGCUGAAAUGAGGAAGAUAUGGCCUCUGGAAGACAACUGCAUCAAGCUGAGGGACAAUUUCGCACGAUGGAAAUCAAGGUGCGAAUUCCUCAGUCCAAAGUGUGGGAAUUUCGCACACCUGAGUCCAAAGUGCGAAAUUGGAACUGCAACGUGCGAAAAUUGGAUAUUUUUGCCGACUCUUUUUCUUCUGAUAUUUUUGUGUCUAAAUUUCCAUUUUCUCCUUGUAUUCAGCCACUCAUGUAAUUCCUUAGCUAGGAAGUAUCCAAGGAAGGGUAAAAUUACCUUCCUAUAUAAAUUCUCUUGUAAACACUGAAGAGGAAUCUCGGGAAGCUUUCUCCAGGAGACCAACUGAUGUAAAUUCUACACUUAGAAUAUAUAUACAGAGCUCUUUUGCUUUCUUUUUCUCUCUACUAUUUUCUAUUUUCUUGGAAGCCAAACAGCCUCUGAGGAUGUUUUCCCAGAGGAUGAGAGGCUAAACUUAUAGUUUCUUGGAGUAAAGGAAGCUAGGUGAAAAGUCCAGAUUAAGAGGUGGAGCGUUUCCGUGCAUUAAAUUCAGGUGGUUGGAGUCCAUAAAUGGUUUCUAAAUUCAAAGUUUUGCUUUAAAUCCCUUAGAAUCACUUUGACUAGCCAAUACAUGGUAAGCUUCAGGUCUCUGUGGAUGCUUAUUGCUAAAUCCAUAUCAGUCCAUUAGUUAUCAUGUACGAGCUAGUGGAAAGUGAUUCAAGGUGAUAACCCAUAGUGUCUUAAGCCAUUAAUGGAUCUCGACUACCAUCUCUAUUGACUUUUUUUGGAUUAAAUCUUCAUUGUCAAACCUAUACCGGUUCGGGAAAUAACUAUAGGUUAAAACCCCAAUGCGAGGAGAAAAAUCCGGAAUUUUCCACUUUGCAUCCUGAACUUGAACCUAGCAACCUUUAGCUCCGGGAGACUUUCUUUCUUCUAUUUUUACUUAGUUUUAUGUGAGUUUAGUUUCAAUCACCACUUCCAAAACAAUUUUAUUUUCUUUUAAAUUUCAAGUUUGUGCUAAAGGAAAUCAUCAGAAUCAAUUUCUAAUUUAGAUUCUGUCACUGAUAGAGUGAAAACCCAUCCCUGAGUUCGACCCUAGAACUGCUAUACUAUAGUAGCUUUGCUACGCCAGUAUAAGGUCAUAGGAUUUAUAAAUGUUUUUUAUUAAAAGACCCGGCUGGAACCAAACGAAUCACAGAGCAUCCAGAGGAGCCACAACAGGUUGAGAUACCUACGGAUAUCAGAGCACCUACCCCUGCAGUGCCCUCUACAGGACCUAUGCCUGAGGUUGUGUCUUCUGUUCUCCUGCCACUCCCAGGACUCCACCAGUUGUACCAGCUGCAUCCGAGCCUCAUCCAUCUGAGCAUAGUAUAGCCAUAUCCAUUUCAGAGUUCAGAGGCCUAUGUCAUACUUUGCAGACAUUGACCACUACUAAGAGCAUCCUGACCCAACAGAUGGUGGCCAUACAUGCACAUCAGGAUCAGCUUAUCGCCACCCAGACUCAGCAUACUGCCAUCCUUAGGCAGAUACAAUAGUAUUUGGGUAUUCUAUCGCCACUUGAGCACGAUAUGCCUAUCCCAUCAGAGCUUAUAGAUCCAUCCCAGGGCCCUCCUCUACAAGAGCAGACUGUGCCCCCUGAGGAGACGACUACAGGAGAGAUAGAGGCAUCCAUCUCGAGUAUUUAGACUUCUACAGUCGAGCCAUCGUCUCCACAUGAUCCUCCCACCACCAUCUGAUCAUUUAUCUGUCUUCUUUUUUGUAUUUCUUUACUUUAGUAGAACAUGUAAUCCCAUGUUUUUGAUGUUUUAUAUAUUGGGAUUGAAUGUAUUACUUGUUUUUGCUCCAUAGUGUACUUUUUUAAAGUAAUACGUGUCUAUCAUUUUUUUAGUAUACUUGGCAUAAUCUUAUUUUAUUUCCUCUACUCAUGAUUUUUGUUGUUUUUUGAAACAUGUGGAUUCUCUAAUUCUACUCAAACUCCAUGUCACUCAGGAGACACCACUUCCUCCCUGUAUUUUCAAUCACUUUUGCCACAUUGAGGGCAAUGUUCAGCUUGGUUGGAGGGAAAAGAGUUGAGGAAGGAAGUUCUGUUUUUUUUAAGGCUAAGUUAUUUUGGUAAUUUAGUUGUUUUUGCUUAAUUCUUUAAAUUUCUAAGUUUUUAUUGUACUCUCCAUGGUUAUUAAGGAAAAAUUUUCAAACUAAAAAGGGAGAAAUUGAAUUUUUGUCUAUUUACUUGACUUAGAGUUUGUAUUAUGGUUACUAAAGUUGAUGAAAUGUUGAAACUUCUAUUGAAUUCAACCUUAUGUCUUCCAUUUUAAGCUAUUCACACACUAUGCACAAUAGGUUUCGAUUAUAAGAUGAAAAACUAUUUCCCUCUUGGAGUUAAGGAAGCUGGGUAAGGUGCCAAAUGCAAAAAUUGAAAGUUUUGUUGUUUAAGCUUUUAAUGAAUAGAAAGUGUGACCUGUUAAUGGUUUCUAUGUUUUUAGUUAACUUAAAACGCCUUUAAAUUACCUGGGCCAACACUUGGUAAGGCAAGUGAUCUUCGUCCAUUGAGAUGCACUAGUUUAUCUCUUGUGAGCCUUUGGGAGGUGGUUCAAAGGUAGGAUUUUCUAGAAUAGCCAACACUUGGUAAGCUUUUGGACUCUAAGGAGACAUCCAUUAGUUAUCUCUUGCGAGCUUUUGAAGGGAAAUCCAAGGUUAAGGAUCACCUUGAAUGGCAAAUGCUAGGUGAAAGGCAUGAGCCAUUGCAAGAUGAAUUAGUGAGAGGGAUUUAGUGUUUGAAUCCAUAAAAGGGAAGCAUCUGUACCACAUCAGUUCGAGAAAUAACAAUAUGUUAAAUCUCCAAUGCGAGGUAAAGAUUCAAGUGAUCAGAACUCUAAUUUUGUAGUAGGAGCCUGACCCUAGUGAUCCAAAAACUCCAAGAAACACUUUUCUUUAUUUGUAAUUUCAGUUACUAUUUUUGGUUAACUUAAAACCAAUCCUUUUUCAACCAAAGAUUAUGUUUUCUUUUAAAGCUAACCUUGAAAUGAAAAAACACCAAUUCAACUUUGAAUUAAUAUCAGGAAUAAGUUGAAAACCCUUCCCAAUGAACGAUCAUAGAGCCACUAUGCUAGCUAGCUGAGGCUAUCCUAGUACAUGGUGAUAUAGGUUAUAAAUUUUGUUGAUUACUCCCAUUUGAGGACCAAAAUCAAGGUACACUAGUUAAUUGAACACCAAUCAACAGGACAUACACCAGCUGGGCACGAAAUCACUCACAACCCCAAGUCAUUCAUGUCAUGCACAAACCUGAGGUGUUCAUAGCAUUUAGAGCCCUAAGCUCAUGACCCGAAGUCUUUUGUGUCAUCAACAACCCUAAGAUGUUCAUAACAUUUAAAGCCCAGCGCUCACGACCAAGAGUUAUUAAAGUCAACCACAACCUAGAGUUGUUAAUAGAAUCUAGAGCCUUGGACUCACAACCUAAAGUAGGUGAUGUAAUCCACAACCCUGAGUUGUUCAUAAAAUCAAGAGCCCUAAGCUCACGACCUAUAGUCUUUCAUAUCAUCGACAUCCCUGAGCUAUUUAUAGCAUUAAGAGGCUUGAGGUCACUAUCGAGAGUCAUUCAUAUCAAUCGAAUCUGACAGUUGUUCAUAGCAUCUACAACCUUGAGCUCACGACCCAAAGUAGCUCAUGUCAUCCACAACCGUAAGUUGUUAAUAGAAACUAGAGCCUUGAGCUCACGACCUGAAGUUAUUCAUGUCAGCCACAGUCUAAAGCUAUUCAUAACAUUAAGAGCCCUUAUAUCAUGACUCAAAGUAGCCCAUGUUACCCACAACCCAUAAUGGUUCAUAGCAUUCAGUGCUCUGAGUUCAUGACCCAAAGUAAUUCAUAUCAACCUAACUUAGACUUUUUCAUAGCAUCUAAAGCCCUGAUAUCACGACCUAAAGUAGCUAAUGUCAUCCAUAGCCCAAAGCUAUUCAUAAAAUCUAGAGCCUUAAUCUUGCAACUCAAAGUAGCUGAUGUCAUCCAUAGUCUUGAGUUGUUUAUAGCAUCAAGAGCCCUAAGCUGAGGACCUAUAUAUGUCAUCGACAAUCCUAAGCUGUUAAUAGCAUCUACAACUCUAAUUUCCUAAUAGGGAGUUGAUCAUGUCAACCAUAGCACAGAGUUGUUCAUAGCAUUUAAAGCUUUGAGCUCACAACCCAGAUUCAUUCAUGUCAUCCACAGUUCUGAGCUCUUCAUAGAAUCAUGAGCCUUGAGCAUACGACCUAGAGUCUUUCACAGCAUCGACAACCCAUAGUUGUUCAUAGCAUUUAAAGUCCUGAUCUCAAGACCUAGAGUGGCUCAUGUCAUCAGAAGCGUUAAGUUGUUCAUGGCAUCUAAACCAUUGAGCUCACGACUCAGUGUAAUUCAUGCCAACCACAACCUAGAGUUGUUCAUAACAUCUAAAGCCUUGAGCUCAAGACCUAGGGUUGUUCAUGUUUUCCAUAGCCCUAAGAUAAUCAUAGAAUCUAGUGGCUUGAGCUCAUUACCCGGUCUCAUUCAUGUCAUCCACAACCUUAAGUUGUUCAUAACAUUUAUAACCUCAAGCUCACGACCCAGAGUCUUUCAUGUUAUCGACAACCCUAAGCUGUUCAUAACAUCUAAAGCUCGGAGCUCACAACCCGGAGUCAUUCAAGUCAACCACAACCUAGAGUUGUGAUUCAUUCCCAAUUGGUGUACCUUUGAUUCAGUCCUCAAACGGGAGUUAUCAACAAAAUUUAUAAACCUAAUUCACCAUAUACUAGGGUAGCAUAUCUAGCAUAGCAUAGUGGUUCUAGGAUCAUCCAUAGGGAUGAGUUUUCAUUUCCCAUGUGAUAUUAGUUACAACACUGAAAUGAUGGUUUUUCUUUUUUGAGUUAGCUUUAAAAGAAAACAUAAAGUUGGUUGAAAAAGGUUUGGUUUUAAUCUAACCAAAAAUAGUAACUGAUAUUAAUUAUAAAGAAAAGGUUUCUUAGAGUUUUAGGCCACUAAGUUCAGGUUCCUUAUACAAAAUGGGAGAUUCCGGAUCUUUUCCUCGCAUUAGGGAUUUAGCCAAUAGCUAUCCUCCCAACCGGUGUGUUACAGCUGCUUCCCAUUAAUGGUUUCAACGCUAAAUCCCUCUCAUCGAUGCAUCUUGCAAUGGCUCGUACCAUUCACCUAGUAUUUGCCAUUCAAGGUGAUCCUUAACCUUGGAUUACCCUUCAAAAGCUCGUAGGAGAUAACUAAUGGAUGUCUUUAGGGAGUCCAAAAGCUUACCAAGUAUUGGCAAUUCUAGGCAGUCCUACUUUUAAACCACCUCCCAAAGGCUCGCAAGAGAUAACUAAUGGAUCUCUAUGGAUUGAGUCCGAAAAGUUACCAAGUGUUGGCCCAGGUGAUUAUAAGGGAUUUUAAGUUAACUAAAAAUAUAAAAACCAUUAGCUGGUCACAACUUCCUCUUCAUUAAAAACCAAAACAAGGAAAACUUCUACCUUUGUAUCUGGAUCCCUUACCUAGCUUCCUUCAGUCCAAGAAACAAAAAGCCUAGCCACUCAUCCUCUGAGGCCUCAUAGGAUGUUUGGCUAGAAAGAAAAUAAAUACAAAAUGAGUAGGUAAGGUAGAGCAAAGCUCUAUAUAUUUCUUACUAAUAGAAUUUACCCACACACACCCGUUCUCUGGAAUUUCUUUCGAGAUAUAUACAGAAGAUAUUUUCUAAGAAAUAUCAAGAGAGAUAUUUUUAACCUCCCUUUAGAUAUCCUAAAUAUCUUUAGCUGAUUACAAGGAAAAUAGGUAAUUACACAAAAUAUCUUGAGGUAAAAAUCUAACGGAGUUGGUGCAAAAAUAUUUGAAGAUUACAUGAAGAUUUCGCAAGUCAGAUAUGAAGUUGCAAAAUUUUCGCAAGUGGAAAAGGAGUUGCGAAAUUUUCGCAAGUGGUUGAUGGGCUUGCGAAAUUCAUUUUUAGCUUGGUGCAGUUGUCUUCAAAUGGCCAUAACUUCUUCAUUUUAGCUCCGAUUUGCACAUCGUUUAAAGCGUUUGACUCCUAACUUCCCAAGCUUUGAAACGAUAUAUAGUAUGUAUAUAAUGGACUCUAAUAAGUGCUCUAAAUUUUUCUUGCAGCUGCUGUCCUUUUGAAUUUCACAUAGCAUGCCAAGAUUUCGCAAUGCCUUGCCAAAUUGCUUCAUGUUGGAUUUCUCUCUCCGUUUUUCUACCUUGCAUCUCUUGAUUGGCUUGGAAGCCUAUUUCCAAGGGUUGCACAAAAUUCUCCCUCAUUCUUGGCUUGCUUCAAUGAUAAAAAAGCUACCAAAAACACCAAAACUAGCCAAAAACUGAUUAGUAAUACUUGCAAGGGUCCUUAAUGUGCCAAUUGAGUUAGAAGGUAAUAAAUACUACUCAAAAGUGUUUAAAAGAGUUUAUAACAAGCUAUAAAAGAGAAAUUUUUGAGUAGUAAUCAAGUUGUUCAUAGCAUCUAGAGCCUAGAGCUCACAACCCAAAGUAGUUAAUCUGAUCCACAACCCUAAGCUAUUCGUAGCAUUUAGAGCCUUGAGCUCAUGACUAAGAGUAAAUCAUGUCAUCCACAACCAUGAGUUGUUCAUAACAUCAAGAGCUCUGAGCUCACGAACUGUACUCUUUCAUGUCAUCGACAACCCUGAGCUAUUCAUAGCAUCAAAAGGCUUAAGCUCACGACUCAUAGUAGCUCAUGUCAUUCACAACCUUGAGCUUUUCAUAACAUCUAAAGCCCUGUGAUCAUGACCCCAAGUCAUUUAUAUCAACCACGGUAGAGAGUUGUUCAUAGCAUCUAGAGCUUGAGCUCAUAACCCAAUGUAGCUCAACUCAUCCACAGCCUUGAGCUGCUCAUAGCAUCUAGAACCUCAAGCUAUCGCCUUGGAGUCAUUCAUGUCAACCAUAGCUCUAAGUUGUUCAUAGUAUCAUGAUCAUUGAGCUCACUACCUAGAGUCAUUCAUAUCAACCAUAACCCAUAUUGUUCAUAGCAUUUAGAGCCCCAAGCUCAGUACCCAUAGUAGCUCAUGUCAUCCAUAGCCCUAAGCUAUUUAUAGUAUCUUAAACCUUGAGCUCACGGGAUCUUAAGUCGUUCAUAUCAUCCACAACUCAUGACCCAAACUCGUUCAUGUCAACCACAACCUUGAGGUGUUCAUAGUAUCUUGAGUCGUGAGCUAAUGACCUAGAGUCGUUCAUGUUAUCAAUAACCUUGAGCUAGUGACACAAAGUCAUUCAUAUCAUCCAUAGCAUUGAUCUGCUCAUAGAAUUCAGAGGCUUAAGCUCACGGGAUCCUUAGUCAUUCAUAUCAUCCACAAUGUUAAGUUGUUCAAAGCAUCCAUAUCCUUUAGCUCAUCACCUGGAGUGGCACAUAUCAUCCAUAGGCUUAAGGUGUUCAUAGCAUCUAGAGCCCUAAGCACAGGACUCGGAUUUGUUCAUGUCAUCAACAACCCUGAGCUCACGGGAUCCUAAGUUGUUCAUGUCAUCAUAAGCAUUAUGUUAUUCACAGAAUCUAGAGUUGUGAGCUCAUGACUUGGAAUCAUUAUAUUAUCCACAACCCUAAGCUAUUCAUAGAAAUUAGAGCCAUAAGCUCACGACCAAGAAUCGUUUGUAUUAUCCAUAACUCUAAGUUGUUCAUAGUAUCUUAUGGUCUGAGCUCACGGGAUCCUGAGUCGUUCAUACCAUCUACAACUCUGAGUUGCUCAUAGCAUCUAGAGUCUUGAGCUCACAACCCGAAGUUGUUCAUGUCAACCACAACCUUGAGUUGUUCAUGGUAUCUUAAGUCAUGAGCUAAUAACUCAGAGUCAUUCAUGCCAUCCACCACCCUUAGCUCGUGCCUUAGAAUCAUUCAUAGCAUCCACAGCCCCAAGUUGCUCAUAGCAUUUAGAGCCCUUAGCUCACAGGAUAUCAAGUCAUUCAUAUCAUUCACAACGCUUAGUUGUUCAAAGCAUCCAUAGACUUAAGCUCAUGACAUAGAGUGGCACAUAUCAUCCAUAGCCUUGAGCCUGUUCAUAGAAUCUAGAGCCCUGAGCACACAACCCAAAGUUAUUCAUGCCAUCAACAACCCUAAGUUGUUCAUAGCAUUUAGACUCCUAAGCCCACAACUCCAAAUAUUUCAUGUCAUCUAUAGCCCUAAGAUUUUUAUAAAAUCUAAAGCCCUAAGAUCACGGCCUGUAGUCAUUCAUGUCAUCCCUAACCCUGACUUUUCAUAGCAUCUGAAGCCUUGAGCUCAUGACUCGGAUUCAUUCAUGUCCACCAUAACCCUGAGUUGUUAUAUCAUCUAGAGCCUAGAGCACACCACUCAAAGUUGUUCAUGUCAUCCAUAACCCUGAGCUAUUCAUAACAUCUAGAGCCUUAAACUCCCAACCCAAAGUAGUUCAUGUCAUCCAUAACCCUGAGUUGUUCAUAUCAUCUAGUGCCCUAAGAUCACAACUUGAAGUCAUUUAUGUAAUCCACAACCUUGAGUUGUUCAUAGCAUUUAAAGCCUUGAGCUCAUGACCCAAAGUCGUUGAUGUCCACCACAACCUUGAUCUAUUCACAGCAUUUAGAGCCCUGAGCAAACGACCCUCGGUCAUUCAUGUCAUCAAUAAUCCUGAGCUAUUGAUAGAAUUUGGAGCCAUAAUCCCAUAAUCCAAAGUUGUUCAUGUCAUACAUAGCCUUGAGUUGUUCAUAACAUCUUGAGCCUUGUGCACACAACCUGGAGUCGUUCAUGUCAUCUAUAGCUCUGACUUAUUUAUAGCAAUCAAAUUCAUAUUCUCAUGUCCAAGAAUGAAUAAUAUCAUCAUCAGCCAUGAUUUGUUUAUAGCAUCUUGAGGCUUGAGCUCACAGUAUCCCGAGUUAUUGAUAUCAUCCACAGUUUUGAGCUGCUCAUAACAUCUAGAGCCUUAAGCUCAUAACCUUGAGUCAUUCAUGUCAACCACAGCCUUGAGAUAUUCAUAGUAUCUAGAACCAUGGGCUUAUGACCUAAAGUCAUUCAUGUCAUCCACAACCCUCAGCUCAUGAUGCAGAAUCAUUCAUAUCAUCCACAACCCUGAGCUGCUCAUAGCAUCUAGAGGCCUUAGCUCACGGGAUCCCAAGUCAUUCAUAUCAUCCAUAAUGUUGAGUUGUUCAAAGCAUCAACAACCUUAAGCUCACGACUAAGAGUAGCACAUAUUAUCUAAAGCCUUGACUUGUUCAUAUCAUUUAAAGGCCUAAACUCACGACCUAGAGUCAUUCAUAUCAACCACAAGCCUUAAUUAUUCGUAGUAUCUAGAGCCCUGAGCUCACGACAAAGAGCCAUUCAUGUCAUCCAUAACCUUGUUCUAUUCAUAGACUCUAGAGCAUUAAGCUCACGUCCGAAGUCAACAUUUGCUCUUGAAGCUUCAUCCAUUAAAGACUUAGCAAAGGGGGAAGGUCAUCUUUCUACGGCAAUGAAGCUUGCUCUUUCGGCCUCUAUCUACUACAUAUGGCAAGAACGAAAUAGAAGGUAUGAUUGGUCGACAAGGUCGAUGAAAAGGGCCCUUGCUACUUAUUGCUGUUGUGAAAAUGCAUCAAAGAUAGUAUCUGAUCUCCAUGCGAUGCGGCAUUCUGACGUUACGGCAGGGCAAUAUUAGUACAGUAUACCGGGGUCCCCGGCCAGAACCACACGUGCAAGUUUCCCUGCAUGUGGCUCGUCCGUGCUUUCCGAGGCGCUACCUGUGACUCAGCAUGGGAGAAGGGGGUGGAACUGCACACUUGCGUGUUCAGAGCAUUGUCCGAGUGAGUAGGCAGCGCCUACCUUACUUUCUAUUUAAAUAAAGGAAAGACCUGAACACGAUUCCAUAACACAGCUAGGCUUAAGGGUCCUUGGACUUUAUUGAAUUUCCUUUUAGUCCGAUCAAUAGAUAUCAAGUCCGGGAAGGAAAGAGAAUGCGAGUAAAGAUUAGUAGAAGGACAGUAGGAUUUAAUUAGUUGGACCAGUAGCAAUGCCAAGGAUAGAAUCAGUCUAUAAACAAACCUACGUACAAAAUUGUACUAAACAGAAAAAAAGUAGUUAAUCUGACCAAAAUAAAAAAGAGUCUUCGAUAGUUGUUAUUCCUAUAAAAUGGAAAAUGCUUAUACAUAUAGGCGUCUAUUCGCGUCUACAUCGUGAUCUGGCCUGGUCGACCCAAUCAUGAUAUUGAAGGAUGGGACCUUUUCUUGAAAAACUGUAGUUUUAGAACCA